ensembl:lncRNA
GUCUUAUUAAUUUUUGUACUGUGCUGGGUUGAAAACAUUAUCUUAACUUGCAAAUUGGCUUGUUUAGUACAAUAAAGUUUUGGUGGUGUUUGUCUUGAAGUGAUAAAAAGAAUUAAUGUAAUUUGACAGAUGUUGUCAAUAAAUGCUUUUUGUGCCAAAGCAAUGAUAACUGAUCCACAGUUUAGCCCACACAGACUGAUAUUGUGCUCGCUGUGUGAAGAGUUUUGAAAAAGCAACCUGACUAUUGAGAAAUGUGUCCUAGCGAUUGUAAAAAAAAGAAAGAAAAAAAAAACAAACAAAAAACUGUAAAUCAUAAAAACUCUCACAGUCCCAUUGAUUUGUUCAGUUCAUCUGCUUCUGUUGUUGAUUUUGUUGUUGUAAAUUGUGUGAUAAACUGCCAUUGUAAUGAUGCAAAACUGAAUCAAAUCAGAUCUUAAUUAUCAAAAAUGUUUCUUAUAGUUUUAGUUACAAUGGUUGGAAAGAAGAGUGGAUGGAUAGUAAAAAUAUUUGACGUCGUGGCUGAUAUGACCUUUGAAAUUCUGCCGACUGUACAAUUCAUCCUUCUGUUCUACAUGUUCGGAGUUGCCAGAGGUGGAUUCAUCAUUAUUGUCAUUGUACCAGUGUUACUGAUGAUGAUAAACGAGAGAUUAUUUGAUAGAUGCAGAAAUGGGCUCGGCUGUAAGUAUCUGAUGAAUUGCGAUCUGAUCUCUGUGUAACUGCAUCAGUAUCUCUGUUAUAUUCAUUGGCAGGGUUUGGAGAAACAGGGUAAAGUGAUCUGAUGACAUAUUUACAAAAAUGUGCAUAAUAUGUU